UCCUUGGUGGCUCAGAUGGCAAAGAACCUGCCUGCAAUGCAGGAGACCUGGGUUCGAUCCCUGGGUUGGGAA
rfam:TPA: Bos taurus chromosome 28, whole genome shotgun sequence.